GGAGUCGGCCAGGCAAUCGCGCCGGUUUUUAACCGGGGAGGAAAGUCCGGGCUCCGCAGGACAGAGCGCCAGGUAACGCCUGGGAGGUGAAAGCCUACGGAAAGUGCCACAGAAAAUAUACCGCCAGACUCCGGUCUGGUAAGGGUGAAAUGGUGCGGUAAGAGCGCACCGCGCAACGGGUAACCGUUGUGGCAGGGGAAACCCCGCUCGGAGCAAGACCAAAUAGGGGAACAUAAUGCGUGGUCCGCGCUGUUCCCGGGUAGGUCGCUUGAGGUGCAUGGUGACAUGUUACCCAGAUGAAUGAUUGCCCUCGACAGAACCCGGCUUAUCGGCCGGCUCCUUUU
rnacentral:RNase_P_RNA from 1 species